CCGCGGCUCCAUGCCACGCGCCUCCACGGUUGUCGCGCCGAGCCGCCGCGACCUCUGCGCCACCACGCAGGUCCUCCGCGGCCUCCUCGUCUCCGCGACCACCGUGCUCUUCGCGCGUACGACAUCACACCGCACAGCCGCGGACUCGCCCCGUGUCACCGUCACCACGCGCUCACCGCGCGCCGCAGCUGAUGCCUCCAUGUCGGCCGCGCACACUGCGUCCGCCGCGGCCACCGCGGCCUCCUCGCCAUGCCGCGCACCUCCAUAGACUGACACACUGCCCGGAGCUUCACCGCGCAGCCGCCGGCGAACGCCGCCACCGCCGCCACGCCUCCGACACGGCAAGCACGCCCAAGACACCAAGCUCAUGAUACCAAUUGUUGGAACUGCAGUCCUCUAGCAACAUCUCCUCUCACUCGAACGGAGGUGGAAGAAAAAGAACAGUGCACAAGGUUUUCCGGCCGGCGCACGAACGCCCGUCACGGACGCACGAACGCCCCAAUCAUUUUCUUCUUUUCGGUGGCUACAUGGCUCUUACCGACGCUCGGUGGCACAUACCACACCGCGCUGAUCAAUACACAGGGCUGGAGUCUUUAUACGCGGGCGCUCACCCUACGCACGGCCAAGCCAUCCACCCUGAUCCACUUCCUACGCCAACGCCCACAUCCAGGACGUGGCCAACUACUUCACUAACGGAGGCUGCAUGCAACCUCCAUCAGCUACGUGCGCGUACUAACUAAUAUGACUGAUUCACUCAGCCAUAUCUCAACUAACUAACAAACUUUCAUCUCAAGAUUACUACUAACAGUCGCCCCCAUGGUGGACGGGAAGUCGUCCAAUGGGAUCUGUACCAUCUUGGGCAUCAGGCCCGUCGGCGGCUGCGCUCCUCAGCCGGACCCGAAGCUGGAGAAGGAGCUGCUGGCACAAUCUGCACAAGAGUACCAAGAGGAGAGAUUUUAGUUUCCUCUAGCUUUGAAUGAAACAAAAGAGAAGACACACAUUAUUUCAGUUUCCUCUUCCCAGGUUUGAUGUUUCCUCUUCGUUUGACAUUAAGCAUUAGUUUAAGAUUUGGUGGAAAUUUGCCAAAACCGGUGUAAGCUUUAGCUUAUUUUGGUGAUGCUUACAAGUGAAGAACUACAAAUAUUAUUCAUCUCCAUGCCAUUUGUUUCUUUUCUAGAUUAUGGUGUUCAGUUCAUGCUCCCACAAAGGUCAGUGUUGAAGCAUGGAUCUUUAGCAAGAUUUGCAACCAUACCUAAAAAAAAUAUGAAUAAGAUAUUUAUAAUGGAGGCAUGGUCCGAGAUCGUAGCUGCAACUCAUGAAUGCAAACAAGGCACUGACGUUGGAUCAUGUUGGGGGAAAAUCAGCAUGCAGACUCACAGGAGGCUAUAAGAAAAUUAUCUAAUGACAUUGCAAGUCUGAUAGACAGAUAGAGUGCCAGAUACGGUGCAUGAAUGUUGAUUCUCAUAAUACCACUUGUGGUGCACUUGCUCAACCAAAUCGAGAAUGAAGCUGGAGAAAACAUCCAUGAGUAUUGCAUAAGCUUAUUAGUGAUUGCUAAGAUAAUUUCUUGUGUCGUUACUCUAUGCAUACAAUGCUAAAUUAUAGCGUUUCUUGAAACUCAAUUAAAUUAUAGAUGAUUUGUAGUAUUUUUUGUGUUAUCAUAAUAAUAUUUUUAUGCACGUGAAUUCUCAUAUAGGAUUGUAAUAUUUAUCGAGACGUGCGUGCACAUGCACACUUACUAGUCAUUACAAACAAGUAAUACGUCUCCACCCUCCAAACGAAUUCAAAUCCCAAACACGAACCCCUCAAAAAGCCUGCAGGAGAAUCGACAUUCCAACGCAGCC